GGAGGGUUGGCAGAGCGGUUGAAUGCACUGGUCUUGAAAACCAGCAUACGUGAAAGCGUAUCGAGAGUUCGAAUCUCUCACCCUCCGCCA
rnacentral:tRNA from 1 species